ensembl:snRNA U1 U1 spliceosomal RNA
AUACUUACCUGGCAGGGGAGAUACCAUGAUCAUGAAGGUGGUUUUCCCAGAGCGAGGCUUCAUUGCACUCCAGAUGUGCUGACCCCUGCGACAGCCCCAAAUGUGGGAAACUCAACUGCAUGAUUUGUGGUGGCAGAGGACUGUGUUCUUGCUCUUCCCUGAA